rnacentral:ncRNA from 16 species
UUCCGUGAUGAAACACCUUUUACACAGACCUGUUCCGAAACAGAUAAUGUGGAUAAAAAAAUGUUGCCUUCCUUCUGAUA